UACGGGGGGGGCAAGCGUUGUUCGGAAUUACUGGGCGUAAAGGGCUCGUAGGUGGCCAACUAAGUCAGACGUGAAAUCCCUCGGCUUAACCGGGGAACUGCGUCUGAUACUGGAUGGCUUGAGUUUGGGAGAGGGAUGCGGAAUUCCAGGUGUAGCGGUGAAAUGCGUAGAUAUCUGGAGGAACACCGGUGGCGAAGGCGGCAUCCUGGACCAACACUGACACUGAGGAGCGAAAGCCAGGGGAGCGAACGGG
rnacentral:rRNA from 1 species